rnacentral:tRNA from 1 species
UGCUUGUAGCUCAGGUGGAAGAGCAACAGAUUCAGGGUCUGUGGGUCGAGGGUUCGAGUCCCUCCAUAGCAA